rnacentral:sRNA from 1 species
CGGAACGGAGCAAUCCGGUCC